rnacentral:rRNA from 1 species
GACGAACGCUGGCGGCGUGCCUAAUACAUGCAAGUUGAGCGAUGAAGAUUGGUGCUUGCACCAAUUUGAAGAGCAGCGAACGGGUGAGUAACGCGUGGGGAAUCUGCCUUUGAGCGGGGGACAGCAUUUGGAAACGAAUGCUAAUACCGCAUAACAACUUUAAACAUAAGUUUUAAGUUUGGAAGAUGCAAUUGCAUCACUCAAAGAUGAUCCCGCGUUGUAUUAGCUAGUUGGUGAGGUAAAGGCUCACCAAGGCGAUGAUACAUAGCCGACCUGAGAGGGUGAUCGGCCACAUUGGGACUGAGACACGGCCCAAACUCCUACGGGAGGCAGCAGUAGGGAAUCUUCGGCAAUGGACGAAAGUCUGACCGAGCAACGCCGCGUGAGUGAAGAAGGUUUUCGGAUCGUAAAACUCUGUUGGUAGAGAAGAACGUUGGUGAGAGUGGAAAGCUCAUCAAGUGACGGUAACUACCCAGAAAGGGACGGCUAACUACGUG